UGAAUCCCCGAGCUGACAGGGUAAAAAAUCUGUCAUUCUGCCCCUGAACAAGGCAGUUAACCCUCUGUUCCCCGGUAGGCCGUCAUUGUCAAUAAGAAUUUGUUCUUAACCGACUUGCUUAGUUAAAUAAAGGUUACAUUUAAAAAAACAUUUUUUUUUAUUACCUUUCCCUCAUGGUAUUUGUAGUUCUUUAUGAUAGCCACAUUAGCAGCUAAUUAGCAUCAAUUUUUUUGGGGGGUAAACACAGGCGAAUAUAUUGAUAAAAGUCACCUUGUCCGAGAGAGAGAAACAUGGUUAUCAAAACAUUAAAUCAGGGUAAGUCUACAUGAAACACAGCCCUUAUUUGAAGUGUUUCUAAAAUCCCCUGUGGGGCAAAAUGAAUGGUGGAAAAACUAUUGGAACCAUUUCCCUGUUUGACUGCUAAGUUUUAUGUGUAUUAUGACUCAUACUCGUAGUCUAUGGAGGACUGCUUUUCUGAGUGCUAAUAUGGCCGACAGUGCCAAUAUGGCCGACAGUAGCAUACAGUAGCAUCAGCAAUCCAGGGUUUAUAUACGUCAUUGGGAGGGAUUCAGUGCUUCCAGGUGGAUAGAGAAAAAAUGGGCAAUCUGGGAUUGGUACAUUCAUUUUGUUGCUGUUUGAAUCCCAGAUUUCCCCUUUAAUGGGAUGUGGUUGAGGUAUGGGAAUGUUUUAGAUAGGUUCAUAGAUACGCAUGUCCAGUAGAUACUGUACAUCAGGGCUAUUCAACUAGUGGCCCGCGCGCCAGAUCCGGCCCGUUUAUGAAUUUAAACCCUGAACAUUAAUAAAAGAUCUGUAAAAAAAAGAGUUUUAUUUCCACCAAAAUCCGCCGUUCAGUGCCAAAAUGACAAGCCCUAUGGUGGUUGUCUAUAGUCUGGUGCCUAUGUAGAAUGUCAAUGGGUUUUUUCUUCGUCAUAUGGAUUUUGCAGAGUAGCGUUUGAACAGUUUAAGCUUCAAAAUAUGAUGAAAGCUACAACCCUAAGGAACACAUACAUGCCUUCUGUUGCCCUCUCUGAUGCUCACAAAGACUCGUUACAAGUGAGAGACAAACAACGCACCUAAUGACUGAGGGAAAUUCAUUGAAAGCAUCCUUCCUUCAUCCUUCCUUCAUCCUUCCUUCAUCCUUCCUUCAUCCUUCCUUCAUCCUUCCUUCAUCCUUCCUUCCAUCCUUCCUUCCAUCCUUCCUUCAUCCUUCCUUCAUCCUUCCUUCAUCCUUCCUUCAUCCUUCCUUCAUCCUUCCUUCCAUCCUUCCUUCAGACUGGAAUUUGACAUGACCUGAUUUGACAUAUCUUUGUGUUAUUUACUGAGAUGCUUCGUUUUCAGAUGCUUUUAAAAUGACCUAAUUACUUUUAAGAAGCUUUUAAUAGUUAUUUAACUGCUUUAUUGGUGGUUGUGGGUCACUUGUUUUAUACAGUUCUUCGAAAAAUAAUCACAUGUGGAAAAUGUCCAGCCCCCCUGCAAUUAAACCUUUUUUCAUCUGGCCUCUGUAAGAAGAUAGUUGAAUAGCCCUGCUGUACCUUAUAUAGAUACACAUCCAUAUCAUCAGUUCCAUAGGAUGGUAACAGGUGGAUAGAGACAGUUACUGUGGUUCUAUAGCAUGGUAAUAGGUGGAUAGAGACAGUUAAUGUGGUUCUAUAGGAUGGUAACAGGUGGAUAGAGACAGUUAAUGUGGUUCUAUAGGAUGGUAACAGGUGGAUAGAGACAGUUAAUGUGGUUCUAUAGGAUGGUAACAGGUGGAUAGAGACAGUUAAUGUGGUUCUAUAGGAUGGUAACAGGUGGAUAGAGACAGUUAAUGUGGUUCUAUAGGAUGGUAACAGGUGGAUAGAGACAGUUAAUGUGGUUCUAUAGGAUGGUAACAGGUGGAUAGAGACAGUUAAUGUGGUUCUAUAGGAUGGUAACAGGUGGAUAGAGACAGUUAAUGUGGUUCUAUAGGAUGGUAACAGGUGGAUAGAGACAGUUAAUGUGGUUCUAUAGGAUGGUAACAGGUGGAUAGAGACAGUUAAUGUGGUUCUAUAGGAUGGUAACAGGUGGAUAGAGACAGUUAAUGUGGUUCUAUAGGAUGGUAACAGGUGGAUAGAGACAGUUAAUGUGGUUCUAUAGGAUGGUAACAGGUGGAUAGAGACAGUUAAUGUGGUUCUAUAGGAUGGUAACAGGAGGAUAAAGACAGUUAAUGUGGUUCUAUAGGAUGGUAACAGGAGGAUAGAGACAGUUAAUGUGGUUCUAUAGGAUGGUAACAGGUGGAUAGAGACAGUUAAUGUGGUUCUAUAGGAUGGUAACAGGAGGAUAAAGACAGUUAAUGUGGUUCUAUAGGAUGGUAACAGGAGGAUAGAGACAGUUAAUGUGGUUCUAUAGGAUGGUAACAGGAGGAUAAAGACAGUUAAUGUGGUUCUAUAGGAUGGUAACAGGUGGAUAGAGACAGUUAAUGUGGUUCUAUAGGAUGGUAACAGGUGGAUAGAGACAGUUAAUGUGGUUCUAUAGGAUGGUAACAGGAGGAUAGAGACAGUUAAUGUGGUUCUAUAGGAUGGUAACAGGAGGAUAAAGACAGUUAAUGUGGUUCUAUAGGAUGGUAACAGGAGGAUAGAGACAGUUAAUGUGGUUCUAUAGGAUGGUAACAGGUGGAUAGAGACAGUUAAUGUGGUUCUAUAGGAUGGUAACAGGUGGAUAGAGACAGUUAAUGUGGUUCUAUAGGAUGGUAACAGGUGGAUAGAGACAGUUAAUGUGGUUCUAUAGGAUGGUAACAGGUGGAUAGAGACAGUUAAUGUGGUUCUAUAGGAUGGUAACAGGUGGAUAGAGACAGUUAAUGUGGUUCUAUAGGAUGGUAACAGGUGGAUAGAGACAGUUAAUGUGGUUCUAUAGGAUGGUAACAGGUGGAUAGAGACAGUUAAUGUGGUUCUAUAGGAUGGUAACAGGUGGAUAGAGACAGUUAAUGUGGUUCUAUAGGAUGGUAACAGGUGGAUAGAGACAGUUAAUGUGGUUCUAUAGGAUGGUAACAGGAGGAUAGAGACAGUUAAUGUGGUUCUAUAGGAUGGUAAUAGGUGGAUAGAGACAGUUAAUAUGGUUCUAUAGGAUGGUAAUAGGUGGAUAGAGACAGUUAAUGUGGUUCUAUAGGAUGGUAACAGGAGGAUAGAGACAGUUAAUGUGGUUCUAUAGGAUGGUAACAGGAGGAUAGAGACAGUUAAUGUGGUUCUAUAGGAUGGUAACAGGAGGAUAGAGACAGUUAAUGUGGUUCUAUAGGAUGGUAACAGGUGGAUAGAGACAGUUAAUGUGGUUCUAUAGGAUGGUAACAGGUGGAUAGAGACAGUUAAUGUGGUUCUAUAGGAUGGUAACAGGUGGAUAGAGACAGUUAAUGUGGUUCUAUAGGAUGGUAACAGGUGGAUAGAGACAGUUAAUGUGGUUCUAUAGGAUGGUAACAGGUGGAUAGAGACAGUUAAUGUGGUUCUAUAGGAUGGUAACAGGUGGAUAGAGACAGUUAAUGUGGUUCUAUAGGAUGGUAACAGGUGGAUAGAGACAGUUAAUGUGGUUCUAUAUGAUGGUAACAGAUGAUAGACAGUUAAUGUGGUUCUAUAGGAUGGUAACAGGUGGAUAGAGACAGUUAAUGUGGUUCUAUAGGAUGGUAACAGGUGGAUAGAGACAGUUAAUGUGGUUCUAUAGGAUGGUAACAGGAGGAUAGAGACAGUUAAUGUGGUUCUAUAGGAUGGUAACAGGUGGAUAGAGACAGUUACUGUGGUUCUAUAGGAUGGUAACAGGUGGAUAGAGACAGUUAAUGUGGUUCUAUAGGAUGGUAACAGAUGAUAGACAGUUAAUGUGGUUCUAUAGGAUGGUAACAGGUGGAUAGAGACAGUUAAUGUGGUUCUAUAGGAUGGUAACAGGAGGAUAGAGACAGUUAAUGUGGUUCUAUAGGAUGGUAACAGGUGGAUAGAGACAGUUAAUGUGGUUCUAUAUGAUGGUAACAGAUGAUAGACAGUUAAUGUGGUUCUAUAGGAUGGUAACAGAUGAUAGACAGUUAAUGUGGUUCUAUAGGAUGGUAACAGGUGGAUAGAGACAGUUAAUGUGGUUCUAUAGGAUGGUAACAGGUGGAUAGAGACAGUUAAUGUGGUUCUAUAUGAUGGUAAUAGAUGAUAGACAGUUAAUGUGGUUCUAUAGGAUGGUAACAGGUGGAUAGAGACAGUUACUGUGGUUCUAUAGGAUGGUAACAGGAGGAUAGAGACAGUUAAUGUGGUUCUAUAGGAUGGUAACAGGUGGAUAGAGACAGUUAAUGUGGUUCUAUAGGAUGGUAACAGGUGGAUAGAGACAGUUAAUGUGGUUCUAUAGGAUGGUAACAGGUGGAUAGAGACAGUUAAUGUGGUUCUAUAGGAUGGUAACAGGAGGAUAGAGACAGUUAAUGUGGUUCUAUAGGAGGGUAACAGAUGAUAGACAGUUAAUGUGGUUCUAUAGGAUGGUAACAGGUGGAUAGAGACAGUUAAUGUGGUUCUAUAGGAUGGUAACAGGAGGAUAGAGACAGUUAAUGUGGUUCUAUAGGAUGGUAACAGGUGGAUAGAGACAGUUAAUGUGGUUCUAUAGACAUUUACAUUUUACAUUUAAGUCAUUUAGCAGACGCUCUUAUCCAGAGCGACUUACAAUUCUAAAUUCCAUGCAUGACUUAUUCAAUUGGAAUUCAUCAGAUACUGUAUGUAAUAUAAAUCCAUCAAUGUUUUUCUUCUUCUUUUAUUAGGUAUGCACAGACCCCCAAAACUCAAAUGGAUUGAUUGCCUUUCAAUCUCAACACAGCUGGUGUUUCAUCUCUCUUGCCAUCUGACAUAGAGCACAGGGCCCACAGAACAUGUACACUGCCCAGUCAUCAAUUAAGCUGCCCGGGAUGUUGUAUCUCUCUCUCAUUGAUGUGCGCAUCAUCAUCAUAGUUGUUGGCAGCAGGGGGAGACAGAAGCAUUCACCAUACCUCUCAGCCAUCUGACAGGCUAGGCACAUUGAACAGAAGGUACCACACAAACAGACUCUCCUAUCAAUGCAACAGUCCAGAAUCCUUGAGUUCCACUUUGCCGGAGUAUUGGGUUGACUCAUUACUGCUCUAUCACAUACUCCAUAUCCAGAUUUGCAGGCGUAAGCACUCACUCAACAGGCUUGGACUCAACAAAUAUAUAUAUAUAGGAUGG